GACCCAGUAGCUCAGUUGUUAGAGCACUGGCAUAUAUGGCUGGGGGUCAUUGGUUCAAUCCCAAUCCGAGUCA